rnacentral:rRNA from 1 species
GACGUAGGGCGCGAGCGUUGUCCGGAUUUAUUGGGCGUAAAGAGCUCGUAGGCGGCUUGUCGCGUCGUCCGUGAAAACCUGCAGCUCAACUGCAGGCUUGCGGUCGAUACGGGCAGGCUGGAGUUCGGUAGGGGAGACUGGAAUUCAUGGUGUAGCAGUGAAAUGCGUAGAGAUCAUGAGGAAGACCAGUGGCGAAGGCGGGUCUCUGGACAGUUCCUGACACUGAGACACGAAGGCCAGGGGAGCAAACGGG